rnacentral:rRNA from 1 species
ACGGAAGGCAGCAGUGGGGAAUAUUGGGCAAUGGGCGCAAGCCUGACCCAGCAACGCCGCGUGAAGGAUGAAGGUCUUCGGAUUGUAAACUUCUUUAAUCAGGGAAGAAUAAAUGACCUACCUGAAGAAUAAGCUCCGGCUAACUACGUGCCAGCAGCCGCGGUAAUACGUAGGGAGCAAGCGUUAUCCGGAUUUACUGGGUGUAAAGGGCGUGUAGGCGGCUUGGCAAGUCAGAUGUGAAAUUCCGGGGCUUAACUCCGGCGCUGCAUCUGAAACUGCCAAGCUUGAGUACUGGAGAGGACAGUGGAAUUCCUAGUGUAGCGGUAAAAUGCGCAGAUAUUAGGAGGAACACCGGUGGCGAAGGCGACUGUCUGGACAGCAACUGACGCUGAGGCGCGAAAGCGUGGGGAGCAAACAGGAUUAGAUACCCUGGUA